rnacentral:tRNA from 1 species
UUAGCUCAGUUGGUUAGAGCAGAGGACUCAUAAUCCUUUGGUCGGUGGUUCAAGUCCACCA